rnacentral:rRNA from 1 species
GCUGAAAGCAUCUAAGCGUGAAGCCCCCCUCAAGAUGAGAUUUCCCAGUAUGUAAGACCCCUUGAAGACGACGAGGUUGAUAGGUUCGAGGUGGAAGCGCAGCAAUGCGUGGAGCUGACGAAUACUAAUCGGUCGAGGGCUUAUCCUACAA